rnacentral:pre_miRNA from 1 species
AAUAGAUGACGCCAUUGACUUUUUUUUCACAUGUUUGACCAUUCGUCUUAUUCAGAAAAUUUACAUAAUUAUAAUUUAUUUUGCUAUGAGUUGUUUUAUCACUCAUAGUACUUUAAGUGUGAUUUAUAUCUUAUAUAUUCGCAUAAAAUUUUUGAAUAAGACGAAUGGUCAAACAUGUAAGAAAAAGUCAACGGCGUUAUCUAUU